rnacentral:lncRNA from 1 species
GUGUCUUGGAUGAUAUUCAAGCUUCUUGGAUCUAAUUCCGAUUGACAUGAUGAAAUGCAAUAUGAAAUGUUAAAUGACCUAAAAAUGAAUGCAUGAAUGAGGGGGGCAAAUUUUGAGGUAUUACAGCUGCCCCUAUACAGCUGCCCCUAUUCAAUCAACUGGAGACCCGAAAAGAAGAUACAGCUGCCCAAAACUUACUAAAUGUGUAUUUGAUAUUGAACACAUCGAUUG